UACGGGGGGGGCUAGCGUUGUCCGGAUUUACUGGGCGUAAAGAGCGCGUAGGCGGUCUGUUAAGUGUGAAGUGAAAUCUCAGGGCUCAACCCUGAAACUGCUUCGCAUACUGGCAGACUUGAGGGAUGGAGAGGUUUGUGGAAUUCCUGGUGUAGCGGUGAAAUGCAUUGAUAUCAGGAGGAACACCCAUGGCGAAGGCAGCAAACUGGCCAUCAUCUGACGCUGAGGCGCGAAAGCGUGGGUAGCAAACAGG
rnacentral:rRNA from 1 species